CCCGGGGAGCACCUGGCCCUGGCGGCUGCGGGAGACGGGACACCGGGGUAGAUGGGCCCUGCUCGGAUGCAGGAGACGAUUUCUAGGCUGCAGGGACAUUCCCAGCAUGAACCCGGAUAACGAGGCUUUGGUGGGAGACGGGGACCAGCUAGUGGUUUUACUAGUCCACCCCCACCCCUCUGCCCCUGUUAUCCCUCUCCCCAAGCCCCCUUGCUCGUGCCCUUCCCCACACAACCUCAGAUCAUCCCCCCUACCCUCCCAGCUGCUGGCACUUUCUAGCUCUCGGUUGCCCCUGUGGUGCUCCAGAUAGAGCUGGCCUGGCAGGAGACACAGCCUGGCUGGGAGAUGUUUCCUUCUAGUGCAAUCUCUAGGCUUGGCCAAUCUCUCGUGAAAGGGUUGCCCACCAAGCGACUAGCAGCACUUGACUGACAAUGCACCUUGAGCGGUGCCGAUCCACAUCUGAGGAGCUUUGUGGGGAACCUUCUGACCGGCACCUCAUCGCUUCUGGAGCAUCUUUGCUAGGAAUGGAGCCGGAAAGGACUGCUGCUCACAGAGGAUGUAUUCCAGAGACGUUUAAGUUAGCACUUUGCUCCAUCUCUGCAGCAAGCCUGCACCAGAAACUUUGUACUGGGUGCAUGUCAUAUGUUUCCUUUACUAAUUUUACUCUCAACUCUUUCUUUCUUUCUUUCUUUCUUUCUUUCUUUCUUUCUUUCUUUCUUUCUUUCUUUCUUUCUUUCUUGAAUAAACCUAUAGAUUUUAGAGGCUAAAGGACUGGCCCUUUUUGGGGUGAGAUCUGAGGUACAAAUUGACCUGGGAUUGCAGUGGGUCCUUUGGGA